CCUACGGGUGGCAGCAGUGGGGAUUUUUGCGCAAUGGGCGAAAGCCUGACGCAGCGACGCCGCGUGAGGGAUGAAGGUCUUCGGAUCGUAAACCUCUUUCAGCAGGGAAGAACGGUCACUGUGCUAAUCAGCAGGGAAUUGACGGUACCUUCAAAGUAAGCACCGGCUAACUCCGUGCCAGCAGCCGCGGUAAUACGGAGGGUGCGAGCGUUAAUCGGAAUUACUGGGCGUAAAGGGCUCGUAGGCGGUAUGGCAAGUCAAUGGUGAAAGCCCCGGGCUUAACGUGGGAACGGCCUUUGAAACUGGCAAACUAGAGUGUGUGAGAGGAUAGUGGAAUUCCAGGUGUAGGAGUGAAAUCCGUAGAUAUCUGGAGGAACAUCGGUGGCGAAGGCGACUAUCUGGCACAUAACUGACGCUGAGGAGCGAAAGCGUGGGUAGCAAACAGGAUUAGAUACCCCAGUAGUC
rnacentral:rRNA from 1 species